rnacentral:tRNA from 1 species
GGCUCUCCGUUUUAGAGAGACGGGAGAAGG